CGCGGUGAUACGGAGGGUGCAAGCGUUAAUCGGAAUUACUGGGCGUAAAGCGCACGCAGGCGGUUUGUUAAGUCAGAUGUGAAAUCCCCGGGCUCAACCUGGGAACUGCAUCUGAUACUGGCAAGCUUGAGUCUCGUAGAGGGGGGUAGAAUUCCAGGUGUAGCGGUGAAAUGCGUAGAGAUCUGGAGGAAUACCGGUGGCGAAGGCGGCCCCCUGGACGAAGACUGACGCUCAGGUGCGAAAGCGUGGGGAGCAAACAGGAUUAGAUACCCUGGUAGUCCACGCCGUAAACGAUGUCGACUUGGAGGUUGUGGCUUCCGGAGCUAACGCGUUAAGUCGACCGCCUGGGGAGUACGGCCGCAAGGUUAAAACUCAAAUGAAUUGACGGGGGCCCGCACAAGCGGUGGAGCAUGUGGUUUAAUUCGAUGCAACGCGAAGAACCUUACCUGGUCUUGACAUCCAGGUGCUGCAUGGCUGUCGUCAGCUCGUGUUGUGAAAUGUUGGGUUAAGUCCCGCAACGAGCGCAACCCUUAUCCUUUGUUGC
rnacentral:rRNA from 1 species